rnacentral:rRNA from 1 species
GAUGAACGCUGGCGGCGUGCCUAAUACAUGCAAGUCGAGCGAACAGACGAGGAGCUUGCUCCUUUGACGUUAGCGGCGGACGGGUGAGUAACACGUGGAUAACCUACCUAUAAGACUGGGAUAACUUCGGGAAACCGGAGCUAAUACCGGAUAACAUGUUGAACCGCAUGGUUCAACAGUGAAAGACGGUCUUGCUGUCACUUAUAGAUGGAUCCGCGCCGCAUUAGCUAGUUGGUAAGGUAACGGCUUACCAAGGCAACGAUGCGUAGCCGACCUGAGAGAGUGAUCGGCCACACUGGAACGGAGACGCGGUCAAGACUCCUACGGGAGGCAGCAGUAGGGAAUCUUCCGCAAUGGGCGAAAGCCUGACGAAGCAACGCCGCGUGAGUGAAGAAGGUCUUCGGAUCGUAAAACUCUGUUAUUAGGGAAAAACAAAUGUGUAAGUAACUAUGCACGUCUUGACGGUACCUAAUCAGAAAGCCACGGCUAACUACGUG